AGAGUUUGAUCAUGGCUCAGGAUGAACGCUAGCUACAGGCUUAACACAUGCAAGUCGAGGGGAAACGACAUCGAAAGCUUGCUUUUGAUGGGCGUCGACCGGCGCACGGGUGAGUAACGCGUAUCCAACCUGCCCACCACUUGGGGAUAACCUUGCGAAAGUAAGACUAAUACCCAAUGACGUCUCUAGAAGACAUCUGAAAGAGAUUAAAGAUUUAUUGGUGAUGGAUGGGGAUGCGUCUGAUUAGCUUGUUGGCGGGGUAACGGCCACCAAGGCGACGAUCAGUAGGGGUUCUGAGAGGAAGGUCCCCCACAUUGGAACUGAGACACGGUCCAAACUCCUACGGGAGUCA
rnacentral:rRNA from 1 species